UCAGUUUCAGAGGUUACCAAAAGUAAAAUAAGUGGAAACUCUUAACUAUUUAAAAAUGAAUCUGCAUAUAUUUAUUUAAGUUCAUGUGGAUAUGAACGUGGAUGUAUAAGGUCCCUUGUCCCUUGUGUUGGCUUCUUGAGAUUCAGGUUGUGUAUUCAGAGAUGGAAUUCCUAUAAGUAGUUCACAUCUUUGUUGUGAAUGCUGAAGCUCAGCCAACAGUAUCUAUUUUUACUGGUAUUUUGACUGUUCUUUUAUUAUUGGAGAUUUGUUAUAAAAAUAUGAUCUUUAAAUUGAGAGUUUAAAGCAGGGUAAAACUAUCCACUAUGAUCAAGUAUAGUUUUAUAUGUGAAUGUCAAUAUAGCCUCAUUGGACUUUAGUUCUUAGAAUCCUCAUUCUCAUUUAUUUUCUCCUGUGUACAGUAUGCCGUGCAAGCUUGUGUAGUUUCUAAAUUCCAAAUAAUGCUGACAACACGCUACAAACUAGUUACUACAGGUAUGUGCAUUUUAACACUUGACUGCUGUACUGUUUCAGAGGUAGUUUACUGGCAGCUGAAGUGAUACUGUAAUUAUUGUCUUUGAGUGAAAACAUUUCCCUCAAUACUUGCUAUUCUAAGAGCAUUUCUUUGCGAGGUGAGAUCAGUAGUUUAAGUGCAGUUGUGUAGACAGCUACGUGUUUUCCUCUAAUUAUAUAGCAAUGUGUUCACUUUAAUUAUUGUCCUAGUUGUUGAAUGCAGUUUGGAGAUUAUGUUCAAUACGUGCGUCAUCUUCCCUACCAAAUUAGUACCAUUUGCGUUGAAUUUAUGCAGUUCUGUUUUUGAAUACAGAGUUUGACAAAAGUACAGACUUUCUGGUUCUGAAUCCAGAGCCUUUAACUCUCCUCUCCUUGCUUUUCUAAAUGUUUACUGAUAUGUAGUACAAAAUGUGAAAUCUCUAGUUACACCAUGGGAAUAGUUUUCUAUUAAUAUAGCAGUGUUUAUGUACCACAGCCUGGUCUUUUAACAGAUUAGGAAGUGCUUCCCUGCCCUGCUACAAAUAUUAUGGAGACCUUAUAGUGCAUACUGCUUCUUUUGAUCAGGCAGCCAUUUAAAAGGAUAGUGUGUAAUUGUGUUGACAGGGGUCACAUGAAAAAGCCAGAGGAAAGAAACAAAUUUAGAAGGAGUGGGUGGGACAGUUUUUUGUCUUUGUAAGUGCAUUGAACUCUUCCUGACCAGAUGUUUUGGGAAAAUGGAUCUGGAAGACAUAUUACUACACAAAAGGAAAGUUAGAGAAGUCAGAGUAUGGGAUGUUCUGUGGCUCUAUGUUGUUUUUCAAAGCAUGUGCCUUUAUUUUGACACAUCCUUUUGUAGCUCUAAGGGGCAACAAACAAAUAAUCAUAACUUUGGUUAUCUGGGUAAGCAAAAUAAUGUUACUAUUUUAUAAACAUUUGUAAAGAUAUAGUUAUAAAGAGCUUUAGAAUAGUUAAGGGCAAAAGUGUUUGUUUUCCGCUAAAGAAAUAAUAAAUUCAAGUAGCAACUGAAAAAUUUCCACUAUAAAAUGUUUUACCUUCAAAACAAAAAUGUAUUUUUCCACCAGCUUUUUUAUGAUAUUUGUCUCUCCGUGAGUCUUUGCCCAGAGUGCCUGUCUCCAGUUGACCAAAUCUUUUAAAUAUCUAUAUAACGUAUGCACACACCUGUGUGAGGACUUUCUAUGAGGAAGGAUUGUUUUUUUAGCUGUGAAAACGUUUACACUGUUUUCAAAUUGAAACUGGUAAAGAAAUCAGCCUGCUUAUUAAAAUAUUGGCCACGAUAGUGGUGCUGGUUGAAUCAUGUCACAAAUGAAUAAAGUGGACAGACAGAUGGCUGUCCCAUCUGCCUCGGAUUCACACAUGGCCUGUACUUUUUUCAUCCUCCAGUCCUUACGAUGCCUUAUCACUUCACACCAGUACGUGUUCAGGGAGCCAAUCAGACUACUUGUGACACCCACACUGUGACAAAGCACAGACCCCCUCCACCAUUGAGUUUGGAUAACGGCUUUUGCAUGGGGCUCACAGAAACAAAGAGGCCAUCUGCCUGUGCAGCCCACAAAUAUUGACUUAAAAGAUCUUUCCCUGGGGCAACAAAUGGGAAGCAAAUCAAAAGAGCUGAUAACAAAGACCCAGCAAAGAGAGAAAAAGUUUUUAUUGCCUUUUUACCCAAGGUCACAGGAGGGUACAACAGCAUCAGCCAUAUCUGCCCAGAGACUGAGCCCAAGGAAUCUGAUUUUCUGGACACGCAAAAGUCACCUCCGGUUCUGAAAUAUUUCACAAAUGCUUGCUAGACAAUUGGUAUCAUCAAUCCAAAGCUGAAGUAUACAUUUCUUACAUUUGUGCUACUGCACAGUUUUAUUUGAGCUUGUCCAUGGCGGAAACAUCAUAGCUAGAUCAAGUUGUGAAUAAUUGUAUUUUACUGAUGAUUGCUCACUGUUCUGCAGCAUGAUUUCCGAGGUGUUUGCCUGAAGUGGAUCGCUGUGAACAGCAUGUGUUUAAUUUGUAUUGGGAAAAGACUGAGUAUUUAGACAUUUUUAUAGCAACUUCAGUGUUUUUUAACAAUGACUGGGUCUAAGAUGAGCUUCCAGUAUGCACCCUAAUCUUAAUGUUCAUUGAAACAUUUUGUAUAAGCACUCCUAGGGACAAGAUCCAGCAUUUCCAGAUCUUAGCACUUCACUGUAGCCUAGGUUUCUUUUCUCAUUGUCUCUCUCUUGCUUUGUCUUUGACAUUAAAACCUUGUGCAAGUGUA